rnacentral:lncRNA from 1 species
UCUAUUACAAAUUAAGGUCUUAUCCCAUAAGGUUCUACUACAAUUUAAGUCGAUUUUUCCUCCUCCUUUCACUAGCUCGCAUGGUCGCGUUUCCACCUUCAAGACCCAUUUCAAGUCACCGCUCCUCUUGUUGACAUUAGGAGUGCUAAAUACUGGCCAACAUAAAACACUUAGAUACAAAAUGUUUAGACAUUGGCAUUGUUAUUACUACUUUCAGCAUCUACACAUACA